UUGUCUCCUGCCUCGCUCGGUCUUCUACCCUUCUGUUGGAGGAUCUUGAGCUGGAUGCACGGUUGGCUUUCCAAGCUGCGCCGCAUGUAUGAGACUAGACCAAUUUAUCUUCGACGAUCUUUGAGUGCGGGCCCGUCAUGCUUUUCUGAGGGCGGUGCUUGCAAUUUAUCCGUCGAGACAUGU
rnacentral:snoRNA from 1 species